UCUCUGAUGGUCCAGUGGUUAGGAUUCAGUGCUUUCACUGCUGUGGGCCUGGGUUUGAUCCCUUGUCAAGGAA
rnacentral:tRNA from 1 species